rnacentral:rRNA from 1 species
AACGUAGGAGGCGAGCGUUAUCCGGAUUUACUGGGCGUAAAGCGCGUGCAGGCGGUUCGGCAAGUUGGAUGUGAAAUCUCCCGGCUCAACUGGGAGGGGUCGUUCAAUACUACCGGACUUGAGGAUGGUAGAGGAAGGUGGAAUUCCCGGUGUAGUGGUGAAAUGCGUAGAUAUCGGGAGGAACACCAGUGGCGAAAGCGGCCUUCUGGACCAUUCCUGACGCUCAGACGCGAAAGCUAGGGGAGCGAAC